AUUACAUAGCCUCCAAUAUCUCCAGCACGCCCACGGCAUCAUCCAUUCCAUUCCCUCACUAUCACUCCAAGCCUUCUUUUCUGCUGAAAAGUCUCCAUUCACCGCUUCUAAGUUCUGACCUUCAACCCCCCCACAAUCCCUUUCUUCUCCAAGCUUACCAUUCCUAUUUGCUAGAACAACCUCAUCAAGCAGCAAACUUUCUCAUUUACAAAGAAGAAAAUCUCAAACCCUGAAGUAAAUCUAUCAAUCAAACAAACAAACUAGAUACUUCUCUUUCCUUCAAUACUAGUGAUAAAAAAAACAUGGCGUAUGUAGAUCACGCGUUCUCGAUAUCCGAUGAGGACAUCAUGAUGGACACCCCCUACACCGUCAACAACCGCCCUCCUAUCAAGGAGAUCGCGCUCGCCGUUGCUCUUUUAGUUUUCGGCACCCUAGGAAUCGUCCUCGGCGUCAUUAUGGCUGUCAACAAAGUUGGUGGCGACCGAGCUCAUGGACUAUUUUUUGCAAUACUUGGCGGUAUUUUGUUUCUUCCGGGAUUUUACUACACAAGGAUUGCAUACUAUGCUUAUAAGGGUUACAAAGGUUUCUCUUUCUCCAACAUUCCUCCUGUGUAGAGUCGUUGGAGAAUCAAGAGUUGAUGUACAGAUAGAGCCCUUGUUCUUUCGGGUGUUACUUCACUGUCAUUCGUCAGAGCCUCAUUCCUCAACCCUAAUCUGUUACCUGCAUUCAACAUGUGCGGUUUUUGGAAGAUACAGACUUAUUUGCUUCUAGUGCAGUCUGUUUUACGAUGGGAGUAAACAAUCAUAGAUGUUAAUAGAUGCCUUGCUGAGUUGGAAGAUCACAGAUGUAAGGAAUUGAAUGCCAGUCAUUGCCCCUAUGAAACGGCUGCUUACGGGCCAGGAUAUGGAUGUGGCAUUGGAAUCAUUGAUGCUUGAAAAGCUAUUGGUGAGGCAAACACUUUCGUACCUAUAGUUAAAGUGAAUGGGCAAGAUCUCUUAGGGUGCAAUAGAGAAUUAUGGCCAUGCAAACUCAGAUUAGGCUAUAGAACCUGCUAUACAAGGUUUACUGUUGUACUGAAAGAUAUAAAUGGUCUUACAAUUUGAUUGAGAUCUUAAUAAAACAAUGUAUUGGUAUAAAGUUACCUUACUGCUUGUUGAAUGCAUAACAACAAAUUGUCAAGUCAGCAGAGGCUAAUGGUGGUUUACUGCAAGAGGUUGUGAUUAGCAUUUGAAGUAUGAAAUGCCAAUUCUCUGGAUAUUAAGGAGUGUAAAUCAGGAAAAUACCCUUUAUUUUGAUGCUGGAAACGGAAUGGGUAACUUUCAGGGAAAACAGCUCCGUGAUUGGCGUUUCUUUGGACUUUGCCGUGGUGCUUGUGGGAUAUCUAUCAAGAUUCAAGACCAUGCCGUGGCGUACCUGCUGUUAACUCUGAAGGGACAGAUGUCCAUAAUUAGUACUGUUUGAUGCAUACGAGAAUGUUGUGAUCAACGGCGCCGCCGUUGUCUGAGAAAGGAGUACGAAGAUUUGUCAGUUGAGUGAGUCGAAACUGCUUGCCUGUUUCAAAUGGUUCUAGUCCUGUUCAAUUUCAUGACUUGGCUUUCAAUCUGCACAAAGUAGAGUGCAUGUUAUGUUUAUCUUUGAAAUGUAGCUUUACUACUCUUUUUUUUUUUUUUUCCUUUUUCCCCCCGCCGUAUUGAAAUUUUGGAAAGAUGUUAAGAUAUAAAUAAUAUGCAGGGACGUUCGUGGUA